rnacentral:lncRNA from 1 species
CCUCAACUCCCAAAAUCAAUCCCAACCUUCCUUUUGUGGUCAUAAACCUUGUGUUUAAAUUUCAUUGAUUUAUAUUUACUUAUACUAAAGUUAUUGUGCGAAAACCAAGAAUAAUGCCUAGUUGGGCCCUUUUUGGCCCCUAAUUCCUAAACUGUUGGAACCAAAACUCCCAAAAUCAAUCCCAACCUUCCUUUUGUGGUCAUAAACCUUGU